UACGUGUUCAUGGUGGCAUAGAUUGUGGUUGAUGGAGAGAAUAAGAAGACUUGGGUUUGGUUUCAGAAGCUAAUAGUGCUGAUACAUGUAUAGAGAUUGGGGAAUGGAGCCGGAAUCACUAUAGUUUCUGACUUGCAGAAGAGCUUAUAACCUACUUAGUGACGAAGAAAUUCCUGUAGCGGAGCACAGGUGGCGUGGUCGACACUCAUUUUCGAACUGGAAGGAAUUGUCUCGAUGGAUACCUUCACCAUGCAACAUUUCUUCUCUUGCUGGUAUUCAAGAUUUAAAAUCAAUAAUAAUAAUUAAGGGACUAAAAUUUACGGGUGAAAAGUUUUAGUUUUGAAUACAUGUGGUGUGGAAGAAAGGGUGCGUCAUAUCGAGUGUCCAAUAAUGGUGACCUAACACCUGCAGAAUAAAGUCCAGAUUCUUUAGUUAACAAAAAAUAAAAUUAAA
rnacentral:misc_RNA from 1 species